AAAUUGUAGCGUCUUGCUGUUGGUAAUGUGUUGUAAGGGCCUCAGGUGUUUUACGUGACCCUGAGAUCAGGCAAAGAGGGCACUGGACAUGGGAAUUGGUGGCUCUGGCCCCUAGCUCCAGCUCUGCCACUGGCUAGCUUUUAGACUUCUAUAAUCAAGUUCAUUUAUCUGAGCCUCAGUUUUCCCAUCUGUAAAACAGGAGAGUAAAUGCUCUCUAAGGCCCCUUCUGUCUAGAUGAUCUGGGUUAUUUAUUCCUGGGAGGGAGGGUUGUGUAAAUGUUUUACUCAUGUACAGUAAAUUCUCCACUUUCUUCCUCAGACCUGCACUAUCUUGUGGAUAUGUGAAUGAAUUCCACACCUCCCAUUUUACAGAUGAAGCCACUGAGAUACAGAGUAACUGACUAAAUAGUCACCACCCCACCCCUGGAGCCUCACAUGACUCUUCCAGAUUGGUUAAAGGGUUUAACAAGGUUGGCAAGAAAUGAACAAAACUACGGGAGGUCUAGGAAUGGCAAAGUGGCACCUGUGCUUCGAAUGCUCAGAUUAUGUGAAAGGAAUUGA
rnacentral:lncRNA from 1 species